AGGAUAAACGCUGGCGGCGUGCCUAACACAUGCAAGUCGAACGCGCUUGCUAUCCGCGAGGACGGUGAGCGAGUGGCGGACGGGUGAGGAACACGUGGGUGACCUACCUUUCAGUGAGGGAUACCGGCGAGAAAUUGCCGACAAGACCGCAUACGCUUCUCUUUUCAAGGGGAGAAGGAAAGCUUUUCGCAAGAGAGGCGCUGGGAGAUGGGCCUGCGGCCGAUUAGCUAGCUGGUGGGGUAAUGGCCUACCAGGGCGACGAUCGGUAGCUGGUCUGAGAGGACGAUCAGCCACACUGGGAUUGAGAACGGCCCAGACUCCUACGGGGGGGCAGCAGUGAGGAAUUUUCGGCAAUGGGGGCAACCCUGACCGAGCAACGCCGCGUGCAGGACGACGGCCUUCGGGUUGUAAACUGCUUUUCUCUGGGACGAGCAAGGACGGUACCAGAGGAAGAAGCCCGGCUAACUACGUGCCAGCAGCCGCGGU
rnacentral:rRNA from 1 species